rfam:Pedobacter sp. BAL39 1103467000507, whole genome shotgun sequence.
GAAGGGUAAGCUGAAAACCUUUAACAGAGUAGGCG